CACGCAGAGGCCAAAGCAGACGAGGCACUUGUCCGGGAGACAAGUGGAAGCAGGUGCGAGUCCUGCCUGCGUGACCA
rnacentral:tRNA from 1 species